rnacentral:rRNA from 1 species
GGAGGCGAACCAGGGGAACUGAAACAUCUCAGUACCCCGAGGAAAAUAAAUCAACCGAGAUUCCCCCAGUAGCGGCGAGCAGACGGGGAGCAGCCCAGAGUCAGCAUCAAUAUUUACCGCAGGAGAAGGGUCUAGAAAAACCGGCAAUAAAGGGUGAUAGCCCCGUAUCUGAAGCGGUAAGUGUUGUGAACUCGAAGAGUAGGGCAGGACACGUGUUAUCCUGUCUGAAUAUGGGGGACCAUCCUCCAAGGCUAAAUACUCCUGACUGACCAAUAGUGAACCAGUACCGCGAGGGAAAGGCGAAAAGAACCCCGGCAAGGGGAGUGAAAUAGAACCUGAAACCGUGUACGUACAAGCAGUGGGAGCACCCGAAGGGGUGUGACUGCGUACCUUUUGUAUAAUGGGUCAGCGACUUAUAUUCUGUAGCAAGGUUAACCGCAUAAGGGAACCGUAGGGAAACCGAGUCUUAACUGGGCGUUAAGUUGUAGGGUAUAGACCCGAAACCCGGUGAUCUAGCCAUGGGCAAGUUGAAG